AGCAGAGCACGCAAACUUAACCACUCAGCCAUGGGGCCGGCCCCAAAACUUAAAAAUUUUUAAAAGACAAUUUUUACAUACUUGAGAGAAAAGGCUAUAAUGAGAUGGGAAAAAGUAAUGGGGCCAUGAUUCAGGUGUCCUAUGAUUUACUCCUAACUUGCUCUCCGUUUGAUUUCAAACACACAUCCAGAAACCUGUAUCUCAGUUCCCUUCUACAAAAAAUGCAAAUCAGGAAUUACAGAAAAAUCAGGAAUUUCAAGAAUCAUCUAGAAUUCCAUUUAUCCCUAAGAAGCAUCCAGAAAUCCUUGUGGAGAUGGAGGAAGGGUAUUUUGGGGUGUCACUGGCAUAAGGUUUAAAGAACCCAGCUGAUGUGCCCCAAGUCUCAAGAGAAGAUUCGUGUGAAAGCACUUGUGAAUCUGAGUACAAAGAGCAAUGUACACAGGCUAUUAAAUCCACUGGCACAUAAGCAAUGUAAUAAAAUGUAAUCAGAGAAGGCAUAACUUGGUAUGCUAAUUAUAAAUAACUCUUCCAAGCCAACAAACCAGCAAGUUCAUUUGUUCACUCAAUAUUUAAAAAGCAUCUACCAUGUGCCGGGCAGUGAGGCACUAAGAACACAGGCACUGUGUCUAUGGAGCUCAUAGCUCCAAAGGGAGCUCGAGAGUAAACCGGAGACAAGCUGGCUGCAGAGGAAAGCCAGGGAGAGGGGAAAAGCACACACAUGCUCUGUGCUUGCAAGGAGCUCGAGGACAAGGAGACCAGCACAUGGGCGAGGAGCCAGCAGCAAGGGGAACAUGCUGAGAGAGGAGGCCGGAUGGACUGCAGGGGCCAAGAUGAUGCAGAAUCUUACGAACUUCUUAAAGGAUUUUGAACAUUUUUCUAAGAACGAAGGAAAACCUUUAAAAUGCAUUAAGGAGGAUUAUAAGAGAUUAAGUGAUCAGAUCUGAAGUCACAUGGAGAAGAAAUUUAAAGUGGUGAAAGUGCUCCCACAGAAUCCAGAUACAAGAAAAAGUAGGACUGUGCUAAGGAGCACCUCCUGCAGAGAGUGCUACUGAAUUUACCAGCUUUCGUGAGGGGACCGACAGUCUCCAGAGACGUCUUUCAUCUUCUACCCAGGGCAUGCAAGCUCGCUGCAGGAGCGACACCACACCCCUCCUUCCAUCCUGCCACAAUCAUGAGGUUCUUUCUUGCCAAGCCCUCACUCCUUCCUAAGAUCCUUCUCAACAAAGCAUUCCAUAUGGUUAGACUUGGUAUCUGAGUUGCAACCAAACCCAUCUGCCACCUCAGAUAAUUCUCAUUACAGAAGUCAAAUAGAAUUCACAUAAAUAACAAAACUUUUAAUCUAAAAAAAUACCAAAAACGCCCAAUUAAGCAGAUAUGUUUCCACAGCAAAUUCAAACACAUCGCAAAAUUUAUGGGAAUAAUUAUCAAGUAUAAACAACUGUUAAAUAAGCACUACCUAUUAAAUGUGAUUAUUACCAUCCAAUAUCCAAAAAUCUGCUUAUAGUGAUUUUUCAAUUGCUUAUAACUUUGUCUCUUUUGUCUUUAAAGUAAAUCAAGGCAUUCAACGGCAUAAACCAUGUGUAGUUCAACUCCAUCUAUUUAAUUCUUUUUUUUUUUUUUUUGGAGGAAGAUGAGCCCUGAGCUAACUGCUGCCAA